UACGUAGGGUGCAAGCGUUAAUCGGAAUUACUGGGCGUAAAGCGUGCGCAGGCGGUUUUGUAAGCCAGAUGUGAAAGCCCCGGGCUCAACCUGGGAAUGGCAUUUGGGACUGCAAGGCUUGAGUGCGGCAGAGGAGACUGGAAUUCCUGGUGUAGCAGUGAAAUUCGUAGAUAUUAGGAAGAACACCGGUGGCGAAGGCGGCCCACUGGUCCGGUACUGACGCUGAGGUGCGAAAGCGUGGGGAGCAAACAGG
rnacentral:rRNA from 1 species